CGUACUCUUCUCUCCCCCUCUCCCCGUGUUCUCUCUCUUCCUCUCUGCCAUCCCCACAAAACACAGUUUCCGACCACCACUUCACGUCACCACCACCAACCGAUCCAACACCCAAAACCGACCAAAGCCCAAGAGAAAUCGCUGCCAUGCACCGCCUAUAGCCACCACAAGCGACCACCACAGUCCCCGUCGCCUUGUCUAGCCGAAACUUCUAUUUUUCGGCAGUCUCUUCAACACACAACCACCAUCGCUUAGUCCAGCUGACAUCGAUCAUCCUAUUCUAGAAAUUCCGUCUCCGAUCGACGCUGUACGCUCAUCGUCGGAGCCCACGGCUCUGCAUGUCUUUGCUUUCCAAUCUCCAGUCAAUCUCAGGCUACACGACUGUCAUAGAUGAAAACAGCACGCCUUCUUCUACCAAAAACUCCAUGGUUCAGACCUCUAACUCCUGCCAGAACCACCGCAGGCGCCACCGCCAGUGCGUGAGCUACCCAGCGCCGCUGUGGGCGCAACCGGCUUACUCCUUUCAUCUGGUAAGCUGGAUUUCUCGUCACCCGCUUCAUUGUCAAGGCUCCAUUUUUAUUUGGAUUGAGAACCCUAAUUCUAUCGAAUUGGACUGUGUGAGGUUUUUGAAUCUGUGAUUGGAAGCUUUGGAAUAGAGAGAGAGCUAUUGGGACAGUUUCGAUUGAUAUCGAGGAAAGGGAGUUCGAAUGGUCAGUGAUGUUGAAAUGCUGCUAUGACAAAAUGAUCUCUACUUUGGGGAAAGAAGAAUGGACUCGAGCGUGUGCACAUGGAAUUAGACGAAGUAUCCAAAGUCGGAAACGAAACUAAGUUUGGGCGAGAACUCCAUAUCCAGACUUGCAUGUUGAGAUACUGUACCCAUUGUAUGUUUGUGCUUGUGACCUAAAAGUGAAUGGGACCUAGACGCGUUGAUUCCUAGGGAUCCCACGGUGUCGAUAACUGUGAACUUCCGGAGGGGGCUGUGCUCCUAUGUUUGUCGAGAAAUGGUGAGUACCGACAGUGAACCAGUCAUAUGACACUCAGGGCUAUGAAAUGGACACUUUCGCUACUUGUAGUCACAAGGACUACAGAGUAGUUGGCCGAUUCUCAAAGGAUGACGAACCGGGUCGGUCACCGAUUGUUUUAGAGUAGCAGGCAGUGUGCAGGUUUCGAGCAUGUGGUUGGGGAGCGUACAGAGGAGGCACAUGGCCCGACUUGGCGCAUUUGGUCCUGGCUUUUUAUAGGUCAGGGUACAGUUCCUGUCUGCUGAAGGCAAAACCCUUGCCAGUUUGAGCCAUCCAUGCAUGUUAUAUUUUAAAAGUGAGCCAUCCGUGCAGAAUACAAUCCUAGCGUAUUCCCUAAAUAUACGAUGCAUCCAUGACCCUUGAAUCAGAACUUCCCCUGUUUAAAAGGAUUAUAUGGAACUGGAGGAGAACUUUAUUUGUUUGCUGUAAAAGUAGGAGAGAUACUAAUUCAACCAGUUACUUGAACAAGUUGAUUAGUUAGCUUAAAUUCUUUUCUGAUAUUUGUGUUGGAUGUACCUGUUGGGAAAUAUGAAAUUCUUAUUAAAUUGAUCGUCUUAUCCUGAUUAGAUGAAACUUGAUAGUUUGUACUGAGGAGAAGAAAUAAUAAAGUUUGUUUUUGUAGUU